rnacentral:lncRNA from 1 species
CGAUGCAGCCAGAAGAGCGAACAGUGUCAAAUUUACUGUCCCACUACCAUACACUCUGGAAACACCCGGCACCCUGUCGAUCACUGUCUUGUGAAAAAACUUCAUAGUCAUUGAUGAUGUCACAGGUUGUCAUGUUAACAGAGCUCUUCAUGUGUGUGUGUGUGUGUGUGUGUGUGUGUGUGUGUGUGUUGAUCAGGAAUCUCCUCCUCAGUACUACAGCAGCAGACAGACUCUGGUCACGUCGUCUGAUGUGGAGCAGAAUCAUGACGCGGGUCACGAUAACAUUACUGCUCAGUCGGGCUCUCUGUUCCUCAUCGGUGUGCCCAGCAGCUAUUAUCUGUCCUCUCUGGAUCCGGGUCUCCCUCGUUUACCCUCAUAUGAAAGCGUACGCAAAAAAGACCGACAGCGGCAGAUCCACAUGAUGAUCGCCGACCGAUUCGGACUCAACGGGCCCGCUGUGACGGAGGUGACGCUUUCACAUCAUUCAUUUCCUUAAUUACACUAAUGUUCAUUAUUUUUGCUGGAUAGACUUAAUCAUUCAUUCAUUUUCCUUUGGCUAGUCCCUUUAUUCCAGAGUGAUCCGCUUUUCCCCACAGUCCAAACACAUAUAGGUUAUAGGGGAAUUGAUUAACCAAUUUGCCUGUAGUGUAUGAGUGUGUUUGGGUGUUUCCCAGUACAGGGUUGCGGCUGGAAGGGCAACCACUAUGUAAAACAUUUAAAAUAAUAAAUAGUUGCUG